rnacentral:antisense_RNA from 1 species
AACCAAUUCCACAAACUUGCCCAUUUAUUUAAUGCCAAUAAGUCUUGUUCAUUCUUUUCUUGUUGGUUUUGCGAUUCUUCAAUUAAGGAGUAUAUUAAUUCUGUGUAAUUGUCAAUUUCUCUUUCCCACUCCAUCCAGGUCAUGUUAUCCCAAAUCUGCUCGUAAGAUCUAUUACUCCAACUAUUAUUCCAAGGCACAGCAGUGGUGCAGAUGAGUUUUCCAGAGCAACCCCAAAUCCCCAUGAGCUGUUGGUCCCUUAGGUAUCUUUCCAGAGCCAGGACUCUUGCCUGGAGCUGCUUGAUGCCCCAGACUGUGAGUUGCAACAGGUGUUGUUGCGCCUCAAUAGCCCUCAGCAGAUUGUUCUGCUGUUGCACUAUACCAGACAAUAAUAGUCUGGCCUGUACCGUCAGCGUCAGUGACGCUGCGCCCAUAGUGCUUCCUGCUGCUCCCAAGAACCCAAGGAAUAAAGCUCCUAGUCCCGCUGCUCUUUUUUCUCUCUGCACCACUCUUCUUUUUGCCCUGGUGGGUGCUACUCCUAAUGGUUCAAUUUUUACUACUUUAUAUUUAUAUAAUUCAUUUCUCCAAUUAUCCUUCAUAUCUCCUCCUCCAGGUCUGAAGAUCUCUGUAUUAUUAUUGUCUGUACUAUUGUUUGUACCCCCAUCUCUUGUUAGUAGCAGCCCUGUAAUAUUUGAUGAACAUUUAAUUGAUCCUUUGAUGGGAGGGGCAUACAUUGCUUUUCCUACUUCCUGCCACAUAUUUACAAUUUGUUUUAUUCUACAUGGGAGUGUGAUCGUGUCAUUUGACUCUUCAGUAUAAUUAGACCCAAUAUUAUUAUAAGACCAAGUACUAUUAAACAGUGAUGUUGUAUUACAGUAGAAAAAUUCCCCUCCACAAUUAAAACUGUGCAUUAC